AUUAAUGCUUUAUAAAUGAUGAAUUAAUUGUUUACUAAUGUUUAACUAAUGAUUAAUAGCAUGCCAUUAUUAUAAAGUGUUACCCAUUUUAAAACUUUUGUAUAGCUUCUGGUGUUUUAAGGUCAAUUCUGUUCUUCCAGAUGCCUCUGUCUAAUAAAGAGAGGCAGAGACUGUUCAGAGCCAGGAUAAACACAGAUGCAGACGCUAGCGCUGAGUAUCUUGCAAAAAAGAGAGCAAGGUAUUAAGGUGAUGAUUCAGUGGAAUAAUAAUGUGUCAGUAACAAGCAAACUUGAAAUAUUAAUCGAAAUAGGUUCACACUCAUUUGCAAUAAGCCUAAAUGUUUUAGCUGUGUAAUGUGUUAUUACACAUUAUACACUAUACCCCUGGCCAUUGUUUAUGAAGCAUUAUAAUUUUACAGAUUUACUGUAAUAUUUUGAAAAUAUGACUGUAAUGAAAUUGGUGUGAUUACAACCUGCAUCUAAUACUCAUUAUUAUUAUUAUUGUGUGUAGCUACUACAAAUCAAGCCCAGUUCCCAAAAAGCCUGUUGUACAGCAGAUGACCCCUUCUGCUGCAAAGAAGAAAAGGGAGCAGUGGAGGGUAAACCAGAGGAACUGGAGGGAAAGAUUAAAGCAGAUCAAUGAAUUAAUGAACGACACUCCUGUCUCAAUGAAUGAGUCUAAUCUUGAAGAACCCCAACCCAGAGAGCCAGAUGACCCUCAAGAGAAUCUCCAGCCACUUGCUUCUUCUUCCCCAGAAAGAAAUGGCAAUGUGCGAACAAAAAAUGCAAACAAAAAUAAACUAAAGAAUGAAAUAGUCAAACUUAAAAGGCAACUUGCUCUGUCAAACAAAAAAAAUGAGAAACUAAGAAAACGUCUGCAAAGGGUUAACAAAACAAAAGUAGUGCACGUCAAUGAGAAACGGAAGUCACGGGGAGCCAAGAAGUUUGCUGCAAGAAAGUUCAAAGAAGAGUCCUACAAAAACCAAUGAAAGAGUUACAUUUACAAUACAAUAAAGAAACCCAAAAGGAACUCACACUGUCAUACAGACAGUUUGUGUGCUUACCUCCCUUCUACAUAACAGAACCUAAAACAAGUGAUCGCAACACAUGCGCCUGUCUUGACCACGAAAACGUCCAGAUGCUUGUGGAGAAACUAUUUCAAAGUGGCUUUGUAAAAGUGGCAAGGAUUUCAGAGUUGUUGGCAUCCAUCGUGUGUGAUCCUCUAGGAAAGGAUUGUAUGUAUCGUGCCUGUGUUAAGUGCUGUUACAAAGAAGUGGAAAUAAAAUCCUCAAGAACAGAACAACACCACCACAUGGCUACAGUGGGAAAGUGUCAAGUUACCCAGUAUAGAAAUAAGCGCAACUUCUAUCUCCUGACCACACUACCGUUUAUUUUGGGGUUCAAGGAGGUGACCUGGAAUUUCUCUGAGAAAGCCCAUGGUAAGGGUGCACCAGAUGGCGUGGGUGGCGCUGUAAAGCGGACAGCUGAUCAGAGGGUGAAAAUGGGUGCUGAUAUUCAGACACCAAAAGAGCUCUAUGAAGCUUUACAGAGCACAGCCUCUGCAAUCAAGUACGUUUGGGUGUCAGCAGAGGACAUCCUAAAACAUGAUGAAGCUGUACCGGAGAAGCUGCCUGUUGUGAAGGGCAAAAUGAAGAUUCACCAGAUUGUGUCUCUUACCCCUGGAUGGUUUAGGCACAGAGAGCUGUCCUGCUUCUGCAGCCGAGGGAAGGGUAUCUACUGUGACUGCUUCAGUCCCAAUGAAGUGGACAUAAAUUGCAUAGAUGUGUGAGAAUUACCC
ensembl:lncRNA